AACAAAACGCUGGCGGCGUGCCUAAUACAUGCAAGUCGAACGGGGAAAGUAGCAAUACGAGUACUAGUGGCGCACGGGUGAGGAAUACAUGGGUAAUCUGCCCUCGAGCUCGGGAUAACCAGUCGAAAGACUGGCUAAUACCGGAUAUGACCACAAGAUCUGAGGAUCAAGGGGUAAAAGGUUUUUCGCUUGAGGAUGAGCCCAUGUGGGAUUAGCUAGUUGGUGUAGGUAACGGCUCACCAAGGCGACGAUCCCCUAACUGGUCUUAGAGGAUGAUCAGUCACACUGGAACUGAGACACGGUCCAGACUCCUACGGGGAGGCAGCAGUAGGGAAUAUUGCACAAUGGAGAAACUCUGAUGCAGCGACGCCGCGUGAGUGAUGAAGGCC
rnacentral:rRNA from 1 species